CAAAUAUAAUGUUUGCUUCAUUAAGAACCACCAUUAAAGCACAAUCAACUAUUAAGUAACAAGGCAAAGAUUUAGUUAUCUAUUUUAUAUGUUUACCAAAACAAAAGCAGGGCAUAUUUUUUAAUUGUUCAAUGCUCUGAUAAUUGUAAUUCUAUAUAAGCUUCCUCCCAAAAUACCAACUUUUUAAAUGAAUAUUAUAAAAAUCUUUACCAGAAUCAAAAUUCUAUCUUGAAGGGUGAAUUGUUGUCAUUAUUUAAGAAAGCAGCUGCAUA
rnacentral:lncRNA from 1 species